rnacentral:sRNA from 1 species
UGCGUUGGUGGCGUACUUGGACAUGUUCUGAGUGGGUAACCGUGUAACAAAGCAAGCCAGAUUGUUUCACUAAGCCCGCUAAAUUAGCGGGCUUUUUUAU